rnacentral:rRNA from 1 species
UACCGCGGUUAUACGAGAGGCCCAAGUUGAUAAGCUCCGGCGUAAAGCGUGGUUAAGGACUAAAACACACUAAAGCCGAACGCUUACUAGGCUGUUAUACGCUUACGAAAGUAAGAAGCACACCCACGAAGGUAGCUUUACUAUACCUGAACCCACGAAAGCCAAGAUA